UCAGCCCUAAACACAAAUAAUUAUAAAAACAAAAUUAUUCGCCAGAGUACUACCGGCAACAGCCUAAAACUCAAAGGACUUGGCGGUGCUUUACACCCUUCUAGAGGAGCCUGUUCUAUAAUCGAUAAACCCCGAUAGACCUCACCAAUUCUUGCUAAUACAGUCUAUAUACCGCCAUCUUCAGCAAACCCUAAAAAGGAACAAAAGUAAGCAUAAUCACAGCACAUAAAAACGUUAGGUCAAGGUGUAACCUAUGAAAUGGGAAGAAAUGGGCUACAUUUUCUACCACAAGAAAAUCACACGAAAGUUAUUAUGAAACUAAUAACCAAAGGAGGAUUUAGUAGUAAACUAAGAA
rnacentral:rRNA from 1 species